AUUGAACGCUGGCGGCAGGCCUAACACAUGCAAGUCGAACGGUAACAGAAAGCAGCUUGCUGCUUUGCUGACGAGUGGCGGACGGGUGAGUAAUGUCUGGGAAACUGCCUGAUGGAGGGGGAUAACUACUGGAAACGGUAGCUAAUACCGCAUAACGUCGCAAGCCCAAAGAGGGGGACCUUCGGGCCUCUUGCCAUCGGAUGUGCCCAGAUGGGAUUAGCUAGUAGGUGGGGUAACGGCUCACCUAGGCGACGAUCCCUAGCUGGUCUGAGAGGAUGACCAGCCACACUGGAACUGAGACACGGUCCAGACUCCUACGGGAGGCAGCAGUGGGGAAUAUUGCACAAUGGGCGCAAGCCUGAUGCAGCCAUGCCGCGUGUAUGAAGAAGGCCUUCGGGUUGUAAAGUACUUUCAGCGGGGAGGAAGGGAGUAAAGUUAAUACCUUGGCUCAUUGACGUUACCCGCAGAAGAAGCACCGGCUAACUCCGUG
rnacentral:rRNA from 1 species